UACGAAGGGAGCUAGCGUUGUUCGGAAUCACUGGGCGUAAAGCGCACGUAGGCGGAUGUGUCAGUCAGGGGUGAAAUCCCGGAGCUCAACUUCGGAACUGCCUUUGAUACAGCACAUCUGGAGUCCGGAAGAGGUGGGUGGAAUUCCUAGUGUAGAGGUGAAAUUCGUAGAUAUUAGGAAGAACACCGGUGGCGAAGGCGGCCCACUGGUCCGGUACUGACGCUGAGGUGCGAAAGCGUGGGGAGCAA
rnacentral:rRNA from 1 species